rnacentral:misc_RNA from 1 species
UGGUACUUGUAAAUAUUCUCAAACUUCUCCUUGCAUUUCUUGGCACUUCGGUUAUAUCCAAGCUCACUUAAUUUCCUGGAAACCUCAUCCCAAAGAGGAGCCUUGAGUCCGGCCUCCCUAAAUGCAGCGUCCAUAUCAGACCUUAUCGUCAACAGCCAAAGUUUCUUGCUGUGGCCACCGGCUACCAAUUAAGUACUUGUCGCCUUCUUCACCGCGACCUUCCUCAUUCCCUCGGUUGCCGGCGGCGGCGCCAGAAUUUUCCGGUAUGGUUGAAAUUUCCAUGACCCAGGAAAAAGAAGUUACAGCCAAGAAAAUUUUGGGAUAAGAAAGUUUAAAUUCUCUCUAGGGUUUGGGUUAUUAUUUUUAUUAUUAUUAUUAUUCUUAUUUAAAGAUACAUUUGGC